AGUCGAGCGGUAGCACAGAGAGCUUGCUCUCGGGUGACGAGCGGCGGACGGGUGAGUAAUGUCUGGGAAACUGCCUGAUGGAGGGGGGUAACUACUGGAAACGGUAGCUAAUACCGCAUAACGUCGGGAGACCAAAGUGGGGGACCUUCGGGCCUCAUGCCAUCAGAUGUGCCCAGAUGGGAUUAGCUUGUAGGUGAGGUAACGGCUCACCUAGGCGACGAUCCCUAGCUGGUCUGAGAGGAUGACCAGCCACACUGGAACUGAGACACGGUCCAGACUCCUACGGGAGGCAGCAGUGGGGAAUAUUGCACAAUGGGCGCAAGCCUGAUGCAGCCAUGCCGCGUGUAUGAAGAAGGCCUUCGGGUUGUAAAGUACUUUCAGCGAGGAGGAAGGCGAUAAGGUUAAUAACCUUGUCGAUUGACGUUACUCGCAGAAGAAGCACCGGCUAACUCCGUGCCAGCAGCCGCGGUAAUACGGAGGGUGCAAGCGUUAAUCGGAAUUACUGGGCGUAAAGCGCACGCAGGCGGUCUGUCAAGUCGGAUGUGAAAUCCCCGGGCUCAACCUGGGAACUGCAUCCGAAACUGGCAGGCUAGAGUCUUGUAGAGGGGGGUAGAAUUCCAGGUGUAGCGGUGAAAUGCGUAGAGAUCUGGAGGAAUACCGGUGGCGAAGGCGGCCCCC
rnacentral:rRNA from 1 species